AGCCAAGAAGGGGAGCUCCUGCUGUUCCAGGGGUGAUAGUAGGAGUGCCUCAGAGUACCAAGACGUGAGAAUAAACUGCACGCACAAAUGCCUGGCAAUCUAAUGCAUCCUCAGGUUUGAAAGGUUGGUGAUCUAUGCACAAGGGAUGCAGCAUAUUCAUAGAAGAAGUUCUUUGCAAUGCUAUGGUUCCAUCUCCCUACUUAUGAAAGCAGACUAUCAGAAAAGAAUAAACUGAGGAAGACACAGGAAAUUGUGCAAGAUUGGGCAGAACAGCAGGUCAUUCCUAACCCCUUUAGGGCAACAGCAGCUGAUUGACCGACAACUUAUGCAUCAUCUACACACUUGGCUUUUUCAUGUCAUGGAGGGCUUCUAGGAUGCUGAUCGCAAGGGAAAAAGGGAAAAAGAAACACUUUCUCUUGAAGUUGGUGGCCUUCUCAUAGCAUCAUAUCAGGAGAGAGGAAACUGAGAACACCAC